rnacentral:rRNA from 1 species
CGAACGGGUGAGUAACGCGUGAGGAACCUGCCUCAAAGAGGGGGACAACAGUUGGAAACGACUGCUAAUACCGCAUAAGCCCACAGGUCGGCAUCGACCAGAGGGGAAAGGAGCAAUCCGCUUUGAGAUGGCCUCGCGUCCGAUUAGCUAGUUGGUGAGGUAAUAGCCCACCAAGGCGACGAUCGGUAGCCGGACUGAGAGGUUGAACGGCCACAUUGGGACUGAGACACGGCCCAG